UUAGAGUUUGAUCCUGGCUCAGGAUGAACGCUAGCGGCAGGCCUAACACAUGCAAGUCGAGGGGCAGCGCGUGAAGUAGCAAUACUUCUGGCGGCGACCGGCGCACGGGUGCGUAACACGUAUGCAACCUACCCAUAACCGAGGGAUAGUCCGGGGAAACCUGGUGUAAUACCUCAUAAUACUUAGAGAGGCAUCUCGAAGAGUUAAAAAUUUCGAUGGUUAUAGAUGGGCAUGCGUUGUAUUAGGUAGUUGGUAGGGUAACGGCCUACCAAGCCUACGAUACAUAGGGGAACUGAGAGGUUAAUCCCCCACACUGGUACUGAGACACGGACCAGACUCCUACGGGAGGCAGCAGUGAGGAAUAUUGGUCAAUGGACGGAAGUCUGAACCAGCCAUGCCGCGUGCAGGAUGACGGCUCUAUGAGUUGUAAACUGCUUUUAUGCGAGGGUAAACUCGGGUACGUGUACCCGACUGAAAGUAUCGCAAGAAUAAGGAUCGGCUAACUCCGUGCCAGCAGCCGCGGUAAUACGGAGGAUCCGAGCGUUAUCCGGAUUUAUUGGGUUUAAAGGGUGCGUAGGCUGUUUGGUAAGUUAGAGGUGAAAUUCAAUCGCUCAACGAUUGACGUGCCUCUGAUACUGCCGAACUGGCGAGAGAGUGCUGUGGGCGGAAUGUGUAGUGUAGCGGUGAAAUGCUUAGAGAUUACACAGAACACCGAUUGCGAAAGCAGCUCACAAACCCUUAUCGGACGCUGAGGCACGAAAGCGUGGGGAGCGAACAGGAUUAGAUACCCUGGUAGUCCACGCUGUAAACGAUGAUUACUCGUUGUCGGCGAUAUAAAGUUCGGUGACUAAGCGAAAGCGAUAAGUAAUCCACCUGGGGAGUACGUUGGCAACAAUGAAACUCAAAGGAAUUGACGGGGGCCCGCACAAGCGGAGGAACAUGUGGUUUAAUUCGAUGAUACGCGAGGAACCUUACCCGGGCUUGAAAGUUAGUGACCGCUCCUGAAAGGGAGCUUCCCUACGGGGCACGAAACUAGGUGCUGCAUGGUUGUCGUCAGCUCGUGCCGUGAGGUGUCGGGUCAAGUCCCAUAACGAGCGCAACCCCUGCUGUCAGUUACCAGCGCGUAAAGGCGGGUACUCUGGCAGGACUGCCGGUGUAAGCCGAGAGGAAGGUGGGGAUGACGUCAAGUCAGCACGGCCCUUACGUCCGGGGCGACACACGUGUUACAAUGGUAGGUACAGAGGGCAGCUACCCAGCGAUGGGAUGCAAAUCUCGAAAGCCUAUCUCAGUUCGGAUUGGAGGCUGAAACUCGCCUCUAUGAAGUUGGAUUCGCUAGUAAUCGCGCAUCAGCCAUGGCGCGGUGAAUACGUUCCCGGGCCUUGCACUCACCGCCCGUCAAG
rnacentral:rRNA from 1 species